rnacentral:piRNA from 1 species
UGUGCAUCAUACAUGUGCUUAUAGAGGGU